GACGAACGCUGGCGGCGUGCUUAACACAUGCAAGUCGAACGGAACGGCCCGGCUUUUUUGCGGUGCUCGGGUGGCGAACGGGUGAGUAACCCGUGGGUUACCUGCCCUUGCCUGUGAGGUAACGUCAGGCAACUGGGGCUAAUACCGGAUAGGAGCUCCUGCUGCAUGGUGGGCGUUGGAAAGUUUCGGCGGUUGGGGAUGGACUCGCGGCUUAUCAGCUUGUUGGGGGGGUAGUGGCUUACCAAGGCUUUGCCGGGUAGCCGGGCUGAGAGGGGGACAGGACACGUCAGGACGGGGAUGCGGCCCAGACUCGUCUGGUACGGAGGGGAGGAGUGUAGUGCACAACGGGAGGAAGGCUGAUGUGGCGCCGCCGCGUGCGGGAUAACGUCCUGCUGGUAGUAAACCGCUAUCGUCUGUGACGAGGCGUGAGUGACGGUAAUGGGUAAAGAAGCACCGGCUAACUACGUG
rnacentral:rRNA from 1 species